GGAGAAGAAGCAUUUGCCUGUUCUGAGUGUGGUCGAAGAUUUGGGCUAAAGAGCAACCUGAACAGACACAUGAUAAUUCAUAGUGGACACACAAAGAAAAUACCGACACCGCAAAAAUGACCUAUGAACAACAUGAAAGAAAUCAAAACAGCA